UUUAAUUGAAUUUAGGAAUAUAGGGGGAUGUUUAAAGAAUUAUAAUAGUAGGGGGAAAUCCUAAUAAAGAAAUUUAUAUAAAAAUAAGAGAAAGGAAUUAUCCGAGUAUCAUAAUCCAUUUAAGAAAGUAUUGAGAAAGAAAUCUUAGAUAAAGUAAAUUAAACCAAUAUAAGAUAAAUCGUUUAAGAUCUUAUUUCUUGGAGAUUGAAAUAUGUCCCAGUAUUAACAAAGAAAAAGAGUUGGUAUAAACUUGAAUGUUUUAAUUAAAUUUAAAAUAGAAGGGGAACGUGGAAUUAUAAUUACUUUAAUUUGUGAAAUGAAAAAACUAAAACCUAUAUUUGUUUUCCCUAGUAAAGAUGGGUACCUGUAGGAUAAUGGGCCAACGAGUUGAAAGUAUGGUGAGUUGAAAAACAUAGGGAAACCAAAUCUGAAUAAGGUGUUAAUCAUACUUGUCCCGAAAGUAAGUGAUCUAUUCUUGGAUAGGACUCUCAAAUAGGAAAGAGAUAACUAGGAUUAAAUAUAAAAGGUUAAUCUUUAGAAGAAGGUCCGCACUCGUGAUUGUGCAAAACUCUGAGAAAAUCUAAGAAUAGCAGUGAAAUACUAAUCGGACUUACUUAUAACUGGUUUUCUGCGAAAUGGUUAAUUAGAUCAGCCUCUCAUAUAAUAAAGUUAAAUCUAUCAGAUAAUGUUGGGUAAUGUUGUCCUAUGAUUAAAUUAUGAGGGAGUUGGAGGUUAGGGGAAAGUCUCUAAGCCUCAAAAGGAUAACAAUCCAGAUUUACAGUUAAGGUUCCUAAAAGUAGUUAUUUAGGUUUAAAGGGGUUAUGAAGUUGUAAGUACACAUUGUAAUAGGUAUAGUGGAGUAUGAAAGUUUAUUAAUUAAUACUAAGAAAUGUGUAAAGACAUACCUCUGAAUUAAAUCUUUAAGAUGCUAAUAACAUUUUAUAGAUCCUUCUUUAACCCCUGCUAAAUUAAAGGAGAUAAACUACUUACCGAAACUUCUAAUCUUUCUAAUCUUAUUAAUUUGAGAUUUUAACUAUAAAUAGAAAGGUGGUAGCAGAACGUUCUAUAAUUUUACUUAAAUCCAAGUAUCACAUUAGUUAAAUUUAAUGGGUUAUCUGGAACAAGAGAAGAUAUAUUAGGGAGGCCUUUAUAUUUCUUUAAAAAAGAUAUUGUGUAAAAAAUUUAUAGAAGUGAUGAUGUUGGCAUGAGUAAGGGAAUGAAUUGCCCAGUGAUAUUUUCAUCAACAUAUAAAUUAAAUGUUGGGUCAAUAAUUUAUUUAUUAAAAUAUUUAUAUUGAUUUCCAUCCUUAACAUUGGGUUGAAGGUUUAAUAAAAAUAAUUAUUAAAGGAAUGAAAGAAAAAGAUAUUCGGUCUCUAACUGAAAAGGAAGAGUAAUAAGGUUUAUGAGAAAUCUGGAAAACUCUUAUUUGAACCGUACAUUAAAGGAUAAUACCUUGGGCUAAUGUAAUUUGUUUGAAAUCAAUCUAGUGAACUCGGCAACAGUUUGGACAACUGUUUACUAAAGACAUUUCCUCAAAGCUAGUGGUUUUCAUUUGUAAUUAAGAGGUGUCGCCUGCUCAAUGGAUGAAGGUAACUCUAUCUAAAUAGCAGCUUUUAUAUAGUUCGAAGGUAGCGAAAUUUCAUGUCUUUUAAUGAAAGACUAGCGAAGGGUUGAAUGAUCCAAACACUAUAAAGAUUGAUGCUCCCUGAAAUUGGAUUCAAAGUGAACAUACUUUGAUAUAAGAGAGAGGGACGAAAAGACCCUUGAAGCUUUAGAGAAUCAUAGCUUAAAAAUAAUAACUAAAUUACACUCCAUAGAUGAAUUCUAAUCCUUGAAAAAUACUUAUGGUGGGGAAACCUCUUAGAUGAAUUUCUAAUUAUGAUUUAGUUGUCAUAAAAUAGUUUACUAUCUCACCCUAUAUAUAAAUUUAUAGUAAUUAAUUUUAAAAUUAAAUAUUUACUAUAUUCAUAUGGAUAAAUCUAUGGAGAGAUGGAAUUAAAAUUAAUUCUAAAAUUAAAUUAAAUUAAAGUCUAACUCCAUUAUGUAAUGGUAUUUUCCUAGUUAAAAGUGAUUGAGAAGUAAUCUUUAAUUUCUACUAGGUGGAUUAAUAAUUCUCAAUUGAAAGUUAGAUUUAGAUUAAUUAUAAAUUAUUUCUAUAUUAACUUAAUAUUAGGUUUAACUCACUUAACUUAUUAUUUUGUCUAUUAAUAAGGAGGAGGUUAGUAAUUUUAAUUAUGAGGAAAUUAUCUUUAUUAAAUCAAUCAGAAGUAAAAGUAAACUUAAUAUUAAAAUUGAUAAAAUAUUUAAUUUUUUGAUAAUAGUUUAAAAUAAGCAUGAAUUCCUCUUUGGUCGGGGAAGUGACUUUGUCAUAAUUUAAAAGAACAAAAGAUCUAUCGAGAGAUAUGAUAAUCCUAGAGGGGAAAUCUUAUUUUAUUAAAUAUUAAUUUAUCUAUAUUGGGAAAGAUAUAAGAUACGCCCUAUCUUAGGAAAAGGUCUGAGAUGGAUUAAUCCAUUAUAUCUUCAAGAAUAGUAGGAACCCAUUGACCUAAUUAGACAUUUAAUAAUUAGAGAGGGAUAACUAUAUAUUUAGAUCUCAGUGAGUAUUAAAACUCAGUAUCUUUCACAUAUGGAUAAUAAAAUAUUUUAGUUAAUUCAUAAAUAUCUUCUUGGUUAGGGAGGGGUUUAAAUAACCCUAUAAUAAAUAUAGACUUUAGAGUAAGAUCUUAACCUAGGUCAGCUUCUAAUCGAGUGAUGACUAACCCCCAAGAAGAUAUUAUAAAUGGAGAAAACUAUAAUCAAAUAAACCUAAGACUAACUAGUUGAAGGGGGGUGUAAUCAACAUCUAAGAGAAUUAGGAAUGUGAACAUCAUUUGUCUCUUUAUAUUAAUCCUUUUAGAAAUAAUACCUUCUAGAAUGGAAAAAGGAAAGAAGUUACUCAAGGGAUAACAGGGCUUGUAUCUCCGAAAUUUUUAAUUGAAUCGGGAUAACGGCUACAUCGAUGUUGGCUUGACCAUUCCUAGAGAUGAUCUUUUAGGGUCUCUUUAAGGGAAGUAUUGUUCUCGACUGUAAAUUGGUCAGUGAGCUGAGUUUAGAACGGCGUAAGCUAGUUCGGUUGCUAUCUUCUCUCUAUUUAACCUAACAUUAACCUCCUUAAUACGAGAGGAAUUGGGGAUUAAAGUUAAAGGUGAAAAGCCUAACUUUUUCUUGGUAAUUCUAUAUAUUAAGAAAUUAGAUAGAACCAAGGUGUUAGAGUUUAUUAAUAAUAAUAAAUUUUAUAAAAUUAUUUAAUGCUAAAUAGAAAUAAAUUAAAUUUAUGUAGUUUUCAGAAUUAUCAGUAUGAGGGGGGUUUUAAUAUCAUCAAGAAGGAGUAUGAUGAGAAGAAAUCCUCUAAAGAAAUUAUAAUCCUAUUGUUACUUUCCAUUGAAGGGUUUUUGUUAAUUUUAUUUUUUGUAAACCCUAUAGGUAAAGGUCUAUUAAUAUAUUUAUCUAUAAUUAGUUUAUUUCUAUUUCUUAUAUCAAUAUCAUAUUUUUAUAA